rnacentral:rRNA from 1 species
CCCUACGGGGCGCAGCAGUGGGGAAUAUUGGGCAAUGGGCGCAAGCCUGACCCAGCAACGCCGCGUGAAGGAAGAAGGCUUUCGGGUUGUAAACUUCUUUUGACAGGGAAGAGUAGAAGACGGUACCUGUCGAAUAAGCCACGGCUAACUACGUGCCAGCAGCCGCGGUAAUACGUAGGUGGCGAGCGUUAUCCGGAAUGAUUGGGCGUAAAGGGUGCGUAGGCGGCCUGCUAAGUCUGGAGUGAAAGGUACCGGCUCAACCGGUACAGGCUCUGGAAACUGGCGGGCUAGAGAGCAGGAGAGGG